GCAAAGAGUAGUUUAAAAUUAAAAUAGUAACUUUGGGAGUUAAUAAUAAAGGUGUUUCUUUCUCUUUGAC
rnacentral:tRNA from 1 species